UACGUAGGGUGCGAGCGUUGUCCGGAAUUAUUGGGCGUAAAGAGCUCGUAGGCGGUGUGUCACGUCGUUCGUGAAAACCUGCAGCUUAACUGUGGGCGUGCGGUCGAUACGGGCAUCACUGGAGUUCGGCAGGGGAGACUGGAAUUCCUGGUGUAGCGGUGAAAUGCGCAGAUAUCAGGAGGAACACCAGUGGCGAAGGCGGCCGGCUGGGGGCGCCCUGACGCUGAGGCGCGAGAGCGUGGGGAGCAAACCGG
rnacentral:rRNA from 1 species